rnacentral:rRNA from 1 species
AUGGGCCCCGUGGUGCAGUUCCUUGCCCGCACCUGUGCACCACUCAUGGCCAACAUCUACCCCUACCUGGCUUGGGCCUACAACCCGAGCGCCAUGGACAUGAGCUAUGCCCUCUUCACCGCGUCCGGCACCGUGGUCCAGGACGGUCGCUACGGGUACCAGAACCUGUUCGACACCACGGUGGACGCCUUCUACACGGCCAUGUCCAAGCACGGCGGCUCUAACGUGAAGCUGGUGGUGUCGGAGAGCGGGUGGCCGUCGGGCGGCGGCACCGCGGCGACUCCAGCCAACGCCAGGUUCUACAACCAGCACCUCAUCAACCACGUCGGGCGCGGAACCCCACGCCACCAGGGCGCCAUUGAGACCUACAUCUUCGCCAUGUCAACGAGAACCAGAAGGCCAGCGGCGUGGAGCAGCACUGGGGACUCUUCUACCCCAACAUGCAGCACGUCUACCCCAUCAACUUCGGAUGGAGCUAGCUAUUCUUUUAACACAGUACAAUCGAAGUUGCUUACAUACGCGAGUAUACACUCACCACAGUAA